UACGGAGGGGGCUAGCGUUGUUCGGAAUUACUGGGCGUAAAGCGCACGUAGGCGGCUUCGUAAGUUAGAGGUGAAAGCCCGGGGCUCAACCCCGGAAUAGCCUUUAAGACUGCAUCGCUUGAACACGGGAGAGGUGAGUGGAAUUCCGAGUGUAGAGGUGAAAUUCGUAGAUAUUCGGAAGAACACCAGUGGCGAAGGCGGCUCACUGGACCGUUGUUGACGCUGAGGUGCGAAAGCGUGGGGAGCAAACAGG
rnacentral:rRNA from 1 species